rnacentral:rRNA from 1 species
UACGGGGGGAGCAAGCGUUGUUCGGAUUUACUGGGCGUAAAGAGCGCGCAGGCGGUCGUUCAAGUCGCGUGUGAAAGCCCCCGGCUCAACUGGGGAGGGUCACGCGAUACUGAUCGACUCGAAGGCAGGAGAGGGAAGUGGAAUUCCCGGUGUAGUGGUGAAAUGCGUAGAUAUCAGGAGGAACACCAAUGGCGAAGGCAGCUCGCUGGGACGGUACUGACGCUGAGACGCGAAAGCGUGGGGAGCAAACAGG